CUCCCAGACCGCCGUCAGACCGUCAACAACUCUCAACAUGGACCGACGCAUUCUCUUCACCUUCCUCAUGUUGUCCUCCCUGGUGCUGCUGACGGAGGCGCUGCCGCUCUCCAUAAACCCCUGGAGGCCUCCCUUUCCCGGAAGACCACUUCCUGGCGGUCCGCUGGUGCUGCCUGGCUGUGUGUGCGUCCGGGCCCCCUGCUACUGCAGUCCCAGUAGACAGAAAGACUUUCCAGGAUUUGAACACUAUUAACUGUGGCUCUCAUCAUCAUAACUCUGUAAUCUAAUCCUGUUUCAGUCUUCUUUAUUUCGUAGCUUAAUCCUGCCCGUCAACCAUCUUUAUUCUGUAGCCUGUUCUUGUCCUCUUCUCUCUAAACCAUCUUUAUUCUUGUAGCCUGUUCUUGUCCUCUUCUCUCUAAACCAUCUUUAUUCUUGUAGCCUGUUCUUGUCUCCCUCUCUCUAAACCAUCUUUAUUCUGUAGCCUGUUCUUGUAUCCAUCUCUCUAAACCAUCUUUAUUCUUGUAGCCUGUUCUUGUCCUCUUCUCUCUAAACCAUCUUUAUUCUUGUAGCCUAGCGCUGUCUUCGUGUGCUAAUCGAUCUAACCUCAGAUAGGAGGUACCCUGGAGAUAAUGACUUCAAAACCACUAUGUAAUUUGUGUUAUUAUCUACGCCCAAUCUAUGGUUAGGUAAAGGUUCCAUUAGGUUAAGUUUACGUUAGGUUAAGUUUCAUUACGUUUGGUUUCGUUAAUAUGGUGUAAUAUUAUCAAGUCUGUACCUCCUUCAUUUGAGACAGUGAUGCUUUAAGAAAUGAAUCAUUAUUUGUGGAAAUUUCUGGUAAUAAAUUGAUUAUAAAUAA